rnacentral:misc_RNA from 1 species
UAAUAAGUGUUUAUGGCACUUCUUAAAUCCAUAUCCACCUUGUGUGCAAUGUCAGCCGUUUUUCUUUAUGAAAGCGGCCAAACAUCAACUUAUUUUUUAACUGUCUGUCUGAAAACUAUUAUGAAUAAACAAUUCAAAUA